GCUCGUAGGUCGAUGAAGAACGCAGCCAACUGCGAUAAGUAGUGUGAACUGCAGAAACCUUGAACACAGAACAUUCGAAUGCACAUUGCGCCAUUGGAGUGACAUCCUUUGGCACGCCUGGUUCAGGGUCGUAAUCAAAAAGCGCACAGCGAAUG
rnacentral:rRNA from 1 species